GUUUUUUUGUCUUUUUAC
rnacentral:sRNA from 1 species